UUUGGCGGUGGAAAGGGGCAGCGAGCAAAUUUUCUCGAGAGGAGAAAGAGAGAGGAAACGGGGACUGCUCGUUCCUCCCAUUUUUUUCCUCCCAUUUUUCGCGUCCAAAACCCCCUGAUUCUCUGGAAAUUCUCUACAACUUUCCCGGUCCACACAGCAAGCAAGUUCUCCAUUUCUUUCUCUUCAGCUUUUAUACAAAGGCGGCAGAAGCAACCCAGCACCUCGAGUCGACGCCGGGGGACGCCUCAGCCAUGCCGUUGCACGUACCGUCGCCACCAUCAACCUCGCCUCUGUUCCAUGGAGUCACGAUUGUCGUUCAUGAGGACCCAAGGCAAGUAGACAUUCCCCAUUCUAUCCUAUGUCGAUCGAUUGUUGUUUGAUGAGUAUAGUUUUCUAGAAAUUCAAAAACGUUGUUCAGAACUUUGUUUUUUUUUUUUUGAACAGGUUCAGAACUUUGUUUAAUCGGGACGUUACUUAGCUAUGUUAUUGAGUUUGAAGUAAUUGAGCUUAUGGUUAGAUUGUAAGGGCAUAGACGGUUGAUAUUUAGCACAUGUGGGGGCUGAGCUAGUUGAAAUUUUGAAUUAAAUCCAUGCUAGGGUUGAGGGCAGGUUUGGUUUUAGUCCAACUCCUAAGAUUUCUAAUUUUGUACCAUGAGGCGUUCUUCAUGAAAGUCAUCUCUUGUUGGCUGUUUUACAACAUACUUUAAUUUCAGAAUUUGUAGACUUCGUAUGGAAAAACUAUAUUUAAAAAAUUUCAGGAUUCAAAACCUGUUUUUGGGUCAGCUAGACUGAUCUCUUGCUAUUUUUCAUUUUCUACAGAUUUUUGGACCAGAAUUCUAAAAUGCAUCGUUAUGAAAGUUGUAUAGUAUAUCUUAGGCUACCACAUAUUAAAUUUUUAAAAAAAUUCGGUCUCAUUUGGCUGGGGAAAUAUUUAUUUUCCUACUCAAUUUCGUUAUGGAAAUUUUGACUGUUUUGGGCUUGGUUUGCAAAAAUUAUUUAGAACUGUAUGAGCUGAAUCUGACUUUGAGUCCUCAUAAAAAAUGUUCCUCUAGGUCUUGGCUACCUCAUAUUAAAGUUUCAUAAUUUUUAAAAACCGUUUAGUGAGACAAUAGCCAUCGUUCCUAAAGGUUCGUGAGACGCCUUAUAAGGCUAGUUGAGGCCUAGGAGGUUAGACCUUCCUACAGUCCACUCGAUAUCUGUAUGGAUGAGUUUAUAUUAGUCCAAGGGAUGAAAAUGAUUGAUGAUUCAUUAGAUACAUGCUUGAAUCCCUAAAUAAUAGUGAUGUUAACAUACCUUUAAUUAAAUUAUGGAAUUACUCAAUCAUGGUGUGAAUAUGUGACUGGGAAUAUCAUCGGUCCUUGGGACGACAAUGCCUUGGGUUGUAGUAGGGAUGCUUGGAGAGAUAGCUAGGUUCCUCUAGAUGCCUGGGGGUGUAACAUCGUUCCCCAUGUCUCGUGAUGCCGAAUAGGUGCAAGAUGCCCAGGAGUAAUGGGGUUUCUUGAAUGAUGAUGACAAUAUGAAAUUAUAUUUGAUUAUGACUUUGGUAUUUCUAAAUUGAAUUACUGGUUAUCUAUUGGGAAAAUUUAUUACCUGUAUUGGUCGGUCAUGUAUUUUGAAAAGGUUCUCAGGUAAGUUGUUGUGUAUGUGAUUUACUAAAGUUUCUAUUGUGACUUUCUUUGUGAGUACGGUGAUUGAUUUGUGCAGUAUAAACCAAUGGAUCUUUUGCUUGCUAAGUUGUGAUUCAUUGGUUGUUGACUUCAUUUUUUCAGAUCAAUAUAAUGUUGAUCUCACCUACCUUCCCAAUGGUCCGUUACGGGGUGCUGGUAGACUUCACGUGGGAGGAGGACAGCUUCAUUGAGAUAUGCACCCAUGUCGUACGGUGGGUCCACUCCCACUAUUCUUUGAUGGGUCAUGAUGCAGAGUCAAUCUUGUAGCAUAGAAAGGAGGUGGGGGGAAGUAGGAUUUUUGGAGUUGUGAGGAUUUUGAUGGUAUCUAAGGGCUAAGGUUAGGCAACACUUGUAUAGUUAGGUGGGAAUGAGUGAUCGGCGUACGGUCGUCUAGUGUACUCAGUAGUAUUGACCUUUUGAAUUCCCUAGAGUAACCCACUUGUCGUCGAGGUUACCUCCAUCUCUUGGCCCAUCAGAGAACAGUGGGAGUGAACUCACUGUGCGUCUGUUGACACAGGCGUACAUCCUGAUGAACCCAAGGGUGACUUGCCUCAUUGGGGCCUUACAUCAACGACCAUAUGUGACUUGAUUCGAAUAAAGACAAUAUUUGGAAAAUCAGGAUCUAUGAACUUGUCCUCCUCCCAUGUGAAAUCUACCGACACUCGUAACGAACCACUGGGGAAGCAGGUGGGAAGCAGGAUUUUUGGAGCUGGGAAGAUUUUGAUGGUGUUAAGGGCAAGAAGGUGGGAAGUAGGAUUUUUGGAGCUGGGAAGAUUUUGAUGGUGUUAAGGGCAAGAACCAGGUGGAGAUUCAG
rnacentral:lncRNA from 1 species